rnacentral:misc_RNA from 1 species
UACUGAGUGAGGGCUCACGCCCGACCUCCAACCCUUUGUGAACCAAACUUGUUGCUUCGGGGGCGACCCUGCCGACGACUUCGUCGCCGGGCGCCCCCGGAGGUCUUCUAAACACUGCAUCUUUGCGUCGGAGUUUAAACAAAUUAAACAAAACUUUCAACAACGGAUCUCUUGGUUCUGGCAUCGAUGAAGAACGCAGCGAAAUGCGAUAAGUAAUGUGAAUUGCAGAAUUCAGUGAAUCAUCGAAUCUUUGAACGCACAUUGCGCCCUUUGGUAUUCCGAAGGGCAUGCCUGUUCGAGCGUCAUUUCACCACUCAAGCCUGGCUUGGUAUUGGGCGUCGCGGUGUUCCGCGCGCCUUAAAGUCUUCCGGCUGAGCUGUCCGUCUCUAAGCGUUGUGGAUUUUUCAAUUCGCUUCGGAGUGCGGGCGGCCGCGGCCGUUAAAUCUUUAUUCAAAGGU